rnacentral:rRNA from 1 species
GACGAACGCUGGCGGCGUGCUUAACACAUGCAAGUCGUACGGUAAGGCCCUUUCGGGGGUACACGAGUGGCGAACGGGUGAGUAACACGUGAGUAACCUGCCCACAACUUUGGGAUAACGCUAGGAAACUGGUGCUAAUACUGGAUAUGUGCUCCUGCUGCAUGGUGGGGGUUGGAAGGCUCCGGCGGUUGUGGAUGGACUCGCGGCCUAUCAGCUUGCUGGUGGGGUAGUGGCCUACCAAGGCGGCGACGGGUAGCCGGCCUGAGAGGGUGACCGGCCACAUUGGGACUGAGAUACGGCCCAGACUCCUACGGGAGGCAGCAGUGGGGAAUAUUGCACAAUGGGCGCAAGCCUGAUGCAGCAACGCCGCGUGCGGGAUGACGGCCUUCGGGUUGUAAACCGCUUUCAGCAGGGACGAAGCUUUUUGUGACGGUACCUGCAGAAGAAGCACCGGCUAACUACGUG